rnacentral:lncRNA from 1 species
AGACUGCUGUGCUAGCAAUCAGCGAGACUCCGUGGGCGUAGGACCCUCCGAGCCAGGACCCUGGGCCAGGGAAAGAAAUGAAUGAAGAUGCCACCUUAUGCCCAGAACACAUCUCUCAUUCAAUGAUAAAGGAUUUGUGGUUGGGUCAACUUUUGUGAUGCUCAACUCUUUCCUUCGUAAGGACGGGCUCUUUCUCAGGAGGCUUUUGUACUCCCAAUUAACGCACUGCUAAUCUGAUGAAGCUCUAUUUUGUAGCUAUGCCAUCUGGAUCACAUAGCCUCCAAGGCCAGCAGAGCAGAGGAAGACAAAGAGCAGAGCAAGAUAGAGGUGGAAGUUACACGUCCUUUGUGCUUACUUUCUACUGGCCUCAUCGGGUCGCAAGAUCCCACUCUGAUAGGUGCAUGGGGGCUUGGAAAAUUAGAAAAACAUGUGAAUAUUUGGUAGGCACUUACAAUCUCUGCCAGCAUCUGCCCUUCUAAUCAGCAAAUUUUCAAUUACUUUUUUCUUCACCCACAUAAGACAUCUUAAUCCAACCUCAGGGGACACAUCCUGAUGUCCAAUCUAGUCACUACUUCAAGCUUAAUGGGAUACAUGGGCCUCUCUGUCAUGUCUGCAUGAGGCUCUUCUUGAUCAGUUGACCUAUGAACUGAAAGAAAGCAUAUAUCGUUGUCCUCCACUGUCUAUAUCACUGCAUACAGAGUGGUGGAAAGGAACAGAAUAACGAUGGUAUACAUUCCUAUUUGAAAGGGGAUGAUUAGAGACACAAAACAAUGAUAACAUCUCACUGGUCAGACAUGGUGAAAGUUCCCCUGUGCAGGGGAUGGUAAAUGUUCCUUAAUUAGGCCUUGGUUCUGGUCCUCGAGAGGCAUUCUUUUAUCCAUUGUCCUCUAUGGCUGUAAUCUGUGCCCUCCAAGAUAUUCUUUCUUUUCCAUUACUCUCUGAAGUGGUUGAGGGGGAAUACGUCUUCCUUUGGGGCUGCACGGUUUUCUCAGCAAACUUCUUUCCCACAGAACAUUGGCAGCUUAAGGGUUAUAAGUCUCAAAAUGUCAGUGGCUUUUUUUAGUCCAGGCUCAUGAUUUAUUUAACAAUGCAUUUCCCUCAAACACACAGUAGGCUUCUGAUCUAUUUGCUUUAAAUAACUUUCAUGUGGUAGUAACCACACCUAAAGUUCUUUUCUAGGCAUAAUUCUAAAAUCUGCUUUGUUUCGUUGCUUUCUCACUUCUGUGCAUUUCUCUCUCUUCUAUAUGGGGGCUGUGUUGAAGAUGUCUGACUAAGAGGUAGAAAGUUCACACACUUAAUCUGUUUACACUCUUAAUUGAUUCUCAUCCUAAGUCAUUUCAUCCAAUGGGGACAUUUCACUGUGAUUUUGUGGCAGUCUUUUGAGAUGCCAAGUCUUCCUGUUUAGAGCCUAGAAGUAGUCACUGUUCCAACUUAGAAACUUCCAAAUUUCUGAACGAUUUUUAUUCCUUUCAUUUCUGUUUGCAAGCCAGCCAGGGUUUUCCUGAGCUUAUUUCAUUAUUGUAAUCCUCUGCCAAAUACAGCCAACAUUCACUUUCAACAUUGUUUCCCUAAGUCGUUGGACUCAGAAGCCCCACAGUCUGCCUCCCAAAUUACCACAGGAUUUUAAUUUUUGCCAAAUGGUUUCCUACUGCUUAAAAUGGAUUGCCAUUUUUUCCAGCCUCUAACAUUGGAUUCUUCACUGCCCUCUGCCUAAUUACUAAGUCAUUGCUACACGUUUCAGGUUUCUUUGUGUUGGCCUCUUAUCACUGAUAAAAAUUCUGAAUUUGUUAGGAUAGGCUAGACUAUGCUGUGAAAACAAAUAUCCCCAUUUCAAUUCACUUGCUGAACAAAAUGAAGUUAUCUUUUUUGUUCACACAAAAUCUCCAGGUUCCCGUCUGAUUUCACUUUGGGCUGUGGUUGUGAGUAUUGGAGAAGUAUAAAUUGUGGGGCAAAUGGAAAGGAAGUUCAAGGUGACAUUUUGCUUAGCAAACUCGAAGUGUAUGUUGGUAUUAUUGCUUAGGUAUGGUAUAUUUAUUUGUAUGUUUACAUAGUGUGACUGCCUAAUGGCAUUAAAAAAAUCUAUAGUGCAUGGUUCACUGUUUUCCCUUCGCUGAGAAGAGCAAUGAGUAAGAAUAGAAAUAGGAAUAUAUUUUAUCUGAUGAACCAGGGUGAAAAUUAGCAAAAAAUUUGUGACAGUGGAUAUAUAAAAUAAAAUUUCCCCUUAAGUUAUAUAAUCAUGUUUACACUUUUUGCAUAUGUAACUAAAUGAAUGUAUACUUUCUUCUAGUGGCUUACUGGUAGAAAAUAAACACAGAUGUUUUUGUUUUAUAUUU